GCGCUGGCUUCGGUAGUGCAUACCCUAAGAUUGGAAGGAUACAGAGAAGGUCAGCAUGGCCCCUGCACAAGGAUGACACACAAAUUCUUGAAGCAUUCCAUAUUUUU